UCAGGUAUUGACGGUAUUUAACCAGAAAGCCACGGCUAACUACGUGCCAGCAGCCGCGGUAAUACGUAGGUGGCAAGCGUUGUCCGGAUUUAUUGGGCGUAAAGCGAGCGCAGGCGGUUUUUUAAGUCUGAUGUGAAAGCCUUCGGCUCAACCGAAGAAGUGCAUCGGAAACUGGGAAACUUGAGUGCAGAAGAGGACAGUGGAACUCCAUGUGUAGCGGUGAAAUGCGUAGAUAUAUGGAAGAACACCAGUGGCGAAGGCGGCUGUCUGGUCUGUAACUGACGCUGAGGCUCGAAAGUAUGGGUAGCAAACAGGAUUAGAUACCCUGGUAGUCCAUACCGUAAACGAUGAAUGCUAAGUGUUGGAGGGUUUCCGCCCUUCAGUGCUGCAGCUAACGCAUUAAGCAUUCCGCCUGGGGAGUACGGCCGCAAGGCUGAAACUCAAAGGAAUUGACGGGGGCCCGCACAAGCGGUGGAGCAUGUGGUUUAAUUCGAAGCUACGCGAAGAACCUUACCAGGUCUUGACAUACUAUGCAAAUCUAAGAGAUUAGACGUUCCCUUCGGGGACAUGGAUACAGGUGGUGCAUGGUUGUCGUCAGCUCGUGUCGUGAGAUGUUGGGUUAAGUCCCGCAACGAGCGCAACCCUUAUUAUCAGUUGCCAGCAUUAAGUUGGGCACUCUGGUGAGACUGCCGGUGACAAACCGGAGGAAGGUGGGGAUGACGUCAAAUCAUCAUGCCCCUUAUGACCUGGGCUACACACGUGCUACAAUGGAUGGUACAACGAGUUGCGAACUCGCGAGAGUAAGCUAAUCUCUUAAAGCCAUUCUCAGUUCGGAUUGUAGGCUGCAACUCGCCUACAUGAAGUCGGAAUCGCUAGUAAUCGCGGAUCAGCAUGCCGCGGUGAAUACGUUCCCGGGCCUUGUACACACCGCCCGUCACACCAUGAGAGUUUGUAACACCCAAAGUCGGUGGGGUAACCUUUUAGGAACCAGCCGCCUAAGGUGGGACAGAUGAUUAGGGUGAAGUCG
rnacentral:rRNA from 2 species